GUGAGGUAACGGCUCACCAAGGCAUUGACGGGUAGCUAGUCUGAGAGGACGAAUAGCCACACUGGGACUGAGACACGGCCCAGACUCCUACGGGAGGCAGCAGUGGGGAAUCUUGCACAAUGGGCGAAAGCCUGAUGCAGCGACGCCGCGUGGGGGAUGAAGGCCCUAGGGUCGUAAACCCCUUUCAGUGGGGACGAAACUGACGGUACCCACAGAAGAAGGUCCGGCCAACUACGUGCCAGCAGCCGCGGUAAGACGUAGGGACCGAGCGUUGUCCGGAUUUAUUGGGCGUAAAGAGCUCGUAGGCGGUUGCGUAAGUCGGAUGUGAAAGCUCGGGGCUCAACCCCGAGACGCCAUCCGAUACUGCGCUGACUUGAAUCCAGUAGGGGAGUGUGGAAUUUGUUGUGUAGCGGUGAAAUGCGCAGAUAUGACAAGGAACACCUAUGGCGAAGGCAGCACUCUGGGCUGGUAUUGACGCUGAGGAGCGAAAGCAUGGGUAGCAAACAGGAUUAGAUACCCUGGUAGUCCAUGCCGUAAACGGUGGGCACUAGGUGUGGGGACUUUCAACGGUUUCCGUGCCGAAGCUAACGCAUUAAGUG
rnacentral:rRNA from 1 species